rnacentral:lncRNA from 1 species
ACCUUGACCUACAAUUAGAACUCUUCUGUUUUGUAGUGGAAAAAUAAGGACAUUCAAAUUUCAGGAGGAAUACAAUAUCCACCGGAGUUAUGUUUGUUAAUUCUCAAUUUCUGAAAGCAAUCAGAAUUUGCAAAGCAGGC